AUUGAACGCUGGCGGAAUGCUUUACACAUGCAAGUCGAACGGCAGCACGGGGGCAACCCUGGUGGCGAGUGGCGAACGGGUGAGUAAUACAUCGGAACGUGCCCAGUCGUGGGGGAUAACGUAGCGAAAGCUACGCUAAUACCGCAUACGAACUCUGGUUGAAAGCGGGGGAUCGCAAGACCUCGCGCGAUUGGAGCGGGCCGAUGGCAGAUUAGGUAGUUGGUGGGGUAAAGGCNCACCAAGCCGACGAUCUGUAGCUGGUCUGAGAGGACGACCAGCCACACUGGGGACUGAGACACGGCCCAGACUCCUACGGGAGGCAGCAGUGGGGAAUUUUGGACAAUGGGCGCAAGCCUGAUCCAGCC
rnacentral:rRNA from 1 species